CAGCCGCCACGGUAAUGCGUAGGUGGCAAGCGUUGUCCGGAAUUAUUGGGCGUAAAGGGAGCGCAGGCGGACAUAUAAGUCCAUCUUAAAAGUGCGGGGCUCAACCCCGUGAGGGGAUGGAAACUGUAAGCCUUGAGUGCAGGAGAGGAAAGCGGAAUUCCCAGUGUAGCGGUGAAAUGCGUAGAUAUUGGGAGGAACACCAGUGGCGAAGGCGGCUUUCUGGACUGUAACUGACGCUGAGGCUCGAAAGCCAGGGGAGCGAACGGGAUUAGAUACCCGUGUAGUCCCUGUCUCUUAUACA
rnacentral:rRNA from 1 species